rnacentral:tRNA from 1 species
CAGGAAGUAGCUAAGGCAGUAAAGCAUUUCCCUUACACUGAAGAGUCCCUCGUGCAACUCGAGGCUUCCUGA